GACGGAGGAUGCAAGUGUUAUCCGGAAUCGCUGGGCGUAAAGCGUCUGUAGGUGGUCAAAUAAGUCAACUGUUAAAUCUUGAGGCUCAACCUCAAAAUCGCAGUCGAAACUAUUAGACUAGAGUAUAGUAGGGGUAAAGGGAAUUUCCAGUGGAGCGGUGAAAUGCGUAGAGAUUGGAAAGAACACCGAUGGCGAAGGCACUUUACUGGGCUAUUACUAACACUCAGAGACGAAAGCUAGGGUAGCAAAUGGG
rnacentral:rRNA from 1 species